rnacentral:rRNA from 1 species
UCGGGAAUUUUGGGCAAUGGGCGAAAGCCUGACCCAGCAACGCCGCGUGAAGGAUGAAAUCCCUCGGGAUGUAAACUUCGCAAGAACGGGAAGAAUAAGUUGGUGUGAGUAUCACCAGCGAUGACGGUACCGUUUGUAAGCUCCGGCUAACUCCGUGCCAGCAGCCGCGGUAAUACGGGGGGAGCAAGCGUUGUUCGGAUUUACUGGGCGUAAAGGGCGCGUAGGCGGCCACCGCAAGUCAAUUGUGAAAGCUCUGGGCUUAACCCAGAAAGGUCAACUGAUACUGCGGGGCUAGAGUGCAGAAGGGGCAACUGGAAUUCUCGGUGUAGCGGUGAAAUGCGUAGAUAUCGAGAGGAACACCUGCGGCGAAGGCGGGUUGCUGGGCUGACACUGACGCUGAAGCGCGAAAGCUAGGGGAGCGAACGGGGUUAGAUACCCCGGUAGUCCUAGCCUUAAACGAUGAAUGCUUGGUGUCUGGGGUUUUAUAGUCCCCGGGUGCCGUCGCUAACGCUUUAAGCAUUCCGCCUGGGGAGUACGGUCGCAAGACUGA